AAACCCUAUCCCUCAACCUCAAUCUCACUCUCUCUCUCUCUCGUUCUUUUCCUCAACUCAAAAACCAGCCAUCAACCAUCCUCUUUGACGGCGUGCAUGGGUCACGGCUGGUGGCCGGAUCACGGCAGCGGGCUCGAUGCAGAGGCAGGGGACUCGGCUCUCUCACUCCUUCGUCCUCCCAUCUCUCACUCUGCCUGGGCUCGAUGUCGCCUAGGGGUUCAAGGGCUCGACAGCAGCUGGGGGUUCAAGGGCUCGACGCGCGAGUGGGGUUCUCCGGGCUAGCUGGGCUCAACGGCACGGGGGUCUCAGGGGGUGGGAUCGAUCGUGCAAGGACGGCGCAGGGAGGGGUUCAGGUUGGGCUGAGCUGGGUCUGGGUCGACUGGGCAGGGACGGUGGCUGGGCUCGGCAGGGACGGUGGCUGUGCAGGGAGGGGCUAGUGUAGGUCCUGUGGCUGAGGAUAUGUUCCAUUGGCAAGCAACAAUUAUGGGGCCUGCUGAUAGUCCAUAUGCAAGGGGCGUAUUCCUUGUUUCAAUUCAUUUUCCUCCGGAUUAUCCCUUAAAGCCUCCAAAGGU